UCUUGCCCACGACUAAUCAGGAACUCCCUUUUGCAGCCCUGUUUCCUUCAGGCAAUGCAAGGCCAGCAGCACUGACCUGUACUGAGCCAUCUCCUCCGCCUGGAUUUCUUUGCCUUUUGCAUUAUGGCCUCCCGCUCCGACAACUAUGGAGAAGCAGGCGGUAUAGAAGAUGCCGAACAUGGAUUUGUAUUGAUUCCGCGGCGCCGCUCUUCCCGGGACGGUUUGAUUGACAGCUGCUGUUCCCGGGGCACAGUCCCCUCGCACGGCCCCUCUGCAAACCCGGAAGCAAACACCUCACUGCGCCUGCGCCUCAGACUCAGCAGCGCUCACCCAGUCCUUGUGUUUCAGUUUCGCAAUUGCUGGUAUUAAUUGAUGGAGGGAAGGUCAUUGAUGAAGUAACUGAAGAUGGUUUGGCCUAGGACACUACCCUGAGGAACCCCUGCAGAGAUGUCAUGGAGCUGAGAUGACUGAUGUCCAACUGCAUGUAUCAUGCAGUUUAUAAAAGACACUCCAACUUCUUGACGGUGAUGGUCCACACCAAGCCCAUCCACCCCCUCCAGCUCCUUUUGCAAAGCUGUUGCUGCCAGAGCAGUAAGGAAGACACUGGGGUGCGCAAAUACAGUUAGUGUCGCUCUGCCGUCUCCUGGGAAGUACUGGUGGGAAUCAACGGCGCCCAAGACCUAUCCCAUAAAGGCAGAAAUGGAUUGGAGAAUUCUUUGGUCCUUCCAAACAGCCUGAAAAGGAGAAUACAGAACUCUCAGAAGAUAAAGUCAAUAGCAGCAAGGCUGAAACAAGCAAAGCUUCAAGAAAUGAUUUGGAGGAAGCUGCUUUAGACAAAGAAAACUGAACAUGUCUUAUCCACGACCAUCUACCACUUGAAUAGACCUCCCUUGACAUGUAUUUUUGUACAUAUGUCUAUUUCUAUGUAGUAUGGAUUUCUUAGUUGUCUUGUACAGAAAGUUAAAUAUCAUUAGAAGCCAUAAUUAUUGGACCAAUUCAAAUGUUACUGGAUAAAUAUUUUGGUCCAGGGCCGGUGGUCCCUCAGCUAAAUAAGGCUUGCAAUCUACGUUAUGUUUGUUUACAUUACAUCUUUUGAACGCCUGCUCAAGUUGAUGGAUGAGAUUGGACAUGAGAUGAAAUCUUUCAUAAUACAUGACCUGUAAUCUAAUGUUUUA